rnacentral:snoRNA from 1 species
CAGUGUGAUGAAAGUGACGAUAUGGUACUGCAUGCGCAAGCAACCUGGAGAGACUUUGACAGCACAGGUCAGCAUAAUGCCCGCAGCUGCCACUCGCCUUCCUAGGACA